UGGGGAAUAUUGGACAAUGGGGGCAACCCUGAUCCAGCAAUGCCGCGUGUGUGAAGAAGGCCUGCGGGUUGUAAAGCACUUUUGGCAGGGAUGAAAAGCACUGGAUUAAUAACCCAGUGUGUUGACCUAACCUGCAGAAGAAGCACCGGCUAACUCUGUGCCAGCAGCCGCGGUAAUACAGGGGGUGCGAGCGUUGUUCGGAAUUACUGGGCGUAAAGGGCGCGUAGGCGGCCUACUAAGUCAGACGUGAAAUCCCCCGGCUUAACCUGGGAACUGCGUCUGAUACUGGAAGGCUUGAGUAUGGGAGAGGGAUGUAGAAUUCCAGGUGUAGCGGUGAAAUGCGUAGAUAUCUGGAGGAAUACCGGUGGCGAAGGCGGCAUCCUGGACCAUUACUGACGCUGAGGCGCGAAAGCUAGGGGAGCAAACGGGAUUAGAUACCCCAGUAGUCCCUGAGCGGGCUGGCAAGGCGCAU
rnacentral:rRNA from 1 species